rnacentral:lncRNA from 1 species
GGAAGAGCGUGGCGCGCACCCGGCCCUCGCGCACCGGCACGCGCCGAACCCCGGGGGCCAUGAAGUGACGCUCGUGCACCGCCCGCGCCAGCCGCUGCCCGCCGUCGGGCUCGUGUCCGUCCAGCACCUCCAGCUCCACCACAAAGGGCGUCUGCACGUCGCGCUUGAUCAGGCGCCAGAAAGGCCGAUCGGGCUCCAUGGCCCAGAGCAGCCCCAUGGGCUCGAGCCCCGAGAAGCUGCCGCCCAGCGCGGGCGUGCGCGCCAGGUCCAGCUCGCCGUGGGAGUCCGCGCGGUAGCGCGCGUGGGCUCGGAAGAGCGCGCCCUUCUCGUCGCGCAGGACAGAGCGCAGCGUGACGGGCUGCUCCGGGGCCAGGCCGCGCACAGCGAUGUGCACCGGCUGGUCACAAAGGCAACCACCCGCGGGCUCCAGGAUCACAGAUUGUUGUGGCAUAUCCCGAGCUAGUGUCUCGCCAGCAUGAACACACUCGGACAACCGGAUUCUUCUACAGCAAAGCUUUACUGCUUCAUCAGAAGGAAGACCCCGAACCCGGAAAAUGGCGCUGCUUAUAUACUCCUCCGCACGGCGUGUCAGCACCUGAUUUGUUGCUCGCCCAUCACCUCAUUGCUACUUGGCACGAAUUUACUCUUGCACCUGCGCACAUUACUUGUUUACCAGUUAGGCACAGCGGAGGCCAGCGCCAUCUUGUAAUGGCAAUUGCUCACGGCUCUCCGCAGUGACAAAAGGCUCCUCUAAUGUGGAUACAUUUGAGGAUUUCUCCUAAACGUAACAUCCUGCCAUAUUAUGAAGCAGUAGCUCAGAUGACCAUACUUGGAAGGAAACAGGCACUAACUUAUUUUGGCAAAGAGCCAGAUAUCAUUGUUCAGCCUUACAGCGUAGACCAAGAUACUUGGCUGAAGCAGCACAGUACGGAUUGGUUGCUUGCUCAAAUAGGAUUUGUAGGAACUAUAGAUAAUCAUUAUCCUCAAGAUAGGUUGAUAAAAAUUUUAAAUGUACAUGAGGUGAUAUUUCCUAAAAUGACAUUCUUACAGCCUUUAUAUAAUGCUCUAUUGAUUUUUACUGACGGCUCCUCUAAAGGGCGAGCUGGAUAUCUUAUGUAGUUGUAGUUAUACCCCCAAAGUCACCAAAAGCACAUCUUGCUUUUUUCUUGUUCAUUUUAAAUUUCUUGCAAACUGAUGUUAAAGGUCAGUCUGCAGCAGAUCGCCACUGGCAUCCAGUUACUUCCAGUUCUUAUGUCAUGAUUAAAUGGCGGGACCCAUUAACUAAUAUGUGGAAUGGUCCAGUCCCCGUUUUAAUCUGGGGAAGAGGUUCUGUCUGCCUCUUUUCACAAAAAGAAGAUGGAGCGCGAUGGCUGCCUGAAAGACUGGUUCGUCAAGUGGACAC